GGCUCUGUGGUGAAAUUCAUGUUGAGUUGCAAGCUCAUUGAUGUACGUUGAGCACGUGCCAGAGCCU
rnacentral:tRNA from 1 species